GCUGCCAGAAUUUGAUAUCACAACUGGUUUCACCUCUUCAAAGCCAUUUUCCGAUUCCCCGAGGUUUUCAAUGGACGUCCCAAACUCUACCUUAGCGGAGUUCUAUAUUCAAGCUUAUGCCUCCUUGAGCGGCUUUUCUCGACACUGCCACGAAAUCUUUAGCAGAUCCUUGCAAGAAUUAAUCGUAAACACAAGCACUAAUGAACCAUUGAUGUGCUAACGGUCUGUAAUCACAAUCAGCUAAUUGCAACUGACGUGCGUAAGGAGGAAACCUAUUGGAAUAUCUUCUGUGCAAGUGUGAAAAGGCGCGGUUAAUAAAAGGUGAUUUAUGGUCUCCUAA